rnacentral:rRNA from 1 species
UAGGGAAUCUUCCGCAAUGGACGCAAGUCUGACGGAGCAACGCCGCGUGAGUGAAGAAGGAUUUCGGUUCGUAAAACUCUGUUGUUAGAGAAGAACAGCGCAUAGAGUAACUGUUAUGCGUGUGACGGUAUCUAACCAGAAAGCCACGGCUAACUACGUGCCAGCAGCCGCGGUAAUACGUAGGUCCCGAGCGUUGUCCGGAUUUAUUGGGCGUAAAGCGAGCGCAGGCGGUUAGAAAAGUCUGAAGUGAAAGGCAGUGGCUCAACCAUUGUAGGCUUUGGAAACGGUUUAACUUGAGUGCAGAAGGGGAGAGUGGAAUUCCAUGUGGAGCGGUGAAAUGCGUAGAUAUAUGGAGGAACACCGGUGGCGAAAGCGGCUCUCUGGUCUGUAACUGACGCGGAGGCUCGAAAGCGUGGGGAGCGAACAGG